AGCUCCAAUAGCGUAUAUUAAAGUUGCUGCAGUUAAAAAGCUCGUAGUUGCAUUUCCGAGGCAAGGGAUUAGUCCGACCUUUGGUGGGUAUUUAAUCCUCUUGCCUCGUCCUUGAGUGGUGCUUCUUGGUAUUAAGUUAUCGAGGAGAUAGCCGCUCAUCGUUUACUGUGAGAAAAUUAGAGUGUUCAAAGCAGGCUUAUGCCGUUGAAUAUAUUAGCAUGGAAUAAUAAGAUAGGACCUCGGUACUAUUUUGUUGGUUUGAGAACCAAGGUAAUGAUGAAUAGGGACAGUUGGGGGUAUUCGUAUUCAGUUGUCAGAGGUGAAAUUCUUAGAUUAAGGGAAGACGAACUACUGCGAAAGCAUUUAGCAAGGAUGUUUUCA
rnacentral:rRNA from 1 species